AACAAACGCUGGCGGCGCGCCUAAUACAUGCAAGUCGAACGGGGAAAGCCUUCGGGUGAGUACUAGUGGCGCACGGGUGAGUAACACGUGGGUAAUCUUCCUCGAAGCGUGGGAUAACUAGUCGAAAGAUUAGCUAAUACCACAUAAGACCACAGGAUCUGCGGAUCCAGAGGUCAAAGUUUUUCGCUUUGAGAUGAGCCCGCGCAAGAUUAGCUAGUUGGUGAGGUAAUGGCUCACCAAGGCAACGAUCUUUAGCUGGUCUGAGAGGAUGAUCAGCCACACUGGAACUGAGACACGGUCCAGACUCCUACGGGAGGCAGCAGUAGGAAUAUUGCACAAUGGAGGAAACUCUGAUGCAGCGACGCCGCGUGAGUGAUGAAGGACUUCGGUUCGUAAAGCUCUGUCGUAUGGGAAUAAGAAAGUGAAUGUACCAUGCAAGAAAGGAUCGGCUAACUUCGUGCCAGCAGCCGCGGUAAU
rnacentral:rRNA from 1 species